UUACUGGGGAAAACAAAAGAAAAUCGUUCCUUCCUCUUUAACUAACAAGAGUGACUGUUUUAUUACAUAGCGGGUGGCUACUGAAAAUGAACGAGAGAAUCUUUUGCCGGAGAAAGAAGAAGAAAGUCUACGAUGGGUUUUGUCUUUUCUUUCUCCCCCAAACAUUUUCUUUUUCAGCAAAUGGCGAGUUCUUUUCCCUGCUAAUCGCUUCCUCGUUACGUAAAAUCAUCAUCGAAGCUAAGAGGAACAGCAAGCUCAAAGAGGAAUGCCCAACACAUCCACGUAUCCAUCGCUGGUUCAACCCAAUGACCAUUAACUAGAUCAGUUAAUGAUGCUGAUGCAAUCGAACGGGGAAACUGUUUGCAUCUGAAAGGAAAUCUUCGAAAGCCAUUGAUGUCCUAUAGCGUUUUCAUUAUUUCUCCGUACAUAUACAUGUGCGGCGCUUACUUCAUCCAUGUAGUUUUAAUAGAAUCAUGUACUCGUCUGUUC